GACGAACGCUGGCGGCGUGCUUAACACAUGCCAGUCGAACGGAAAGGCCCUGCGUUUGUGGGGUGCACGAGUGGCGAACGGGUGAGUAACACGUGAGUAACCUGCCCUUGACAUUGGGAUAACUUCAGGAAAAUGGGGCGAAUACCGGAGAGGAGCUCUUGCUGCAUGGGGGGGGUUGGAAAGUUUCGGCGGUGGGGGAUGGUCUCGCAGCUUAUGCGCUUGUUGGUGGGGUAGUCGCUUUCCAGGGCUUUGACGGGUAGCCCGCCUUGGAGGGGGACCGGCCUCAAUGGUACUGCGGGACGGCGCAGUCUCCUACGGGAGGCAGCGGUGGGAAAUAUUACGGAGUGACGGGGAGCCUGAUACAACGGCGCCGCGUGCGGGAUGACGGGUUUCGGGUUAUAAACCACUUUCGCCUGUAACGUGGCCGGAGUGACGGUAAUGGGUAAGAAAGCACCGGCUAACUACGUG
rnacentral:rRNA from 1 species